rnacentral:rRNA from 1 species
GUCGAACGCUGGCGGCGUGCCUAAUACAUGCAAGUCGAGCGGACAGAAGGGAGCUUGCUCCCGGAAGUUAGCGGCGGACGGGUGAGUAACACGUGUGCAACCUACCCUGUAGACCGGGAUAACAUCGAGAAAUCGGUGCUAAUACCGGAUAAUCAUUUGAAGUGCAUGCUUCGAAUGCAAAAGAUGACUCCGGCUAUCACGACGGGAUGUGCCCGGGGCGCAUUAGCUAGUUGGUAAGGUAAUGGCUUACCAAGGCAACGAUGCGUAGCCGACCUGAGAGGGUGAUCGGCCACACUGGGACUGAGACACGGCCCAGACUCCUACGGGAGGCAGCAGUAGGGAAUCUUCCGCAAUGGACGAAAGUCUGACGGAGCAACGCCGCGUGAGUGAUGAAGGUUUUCGGAUCGUAAAGCUCUGUUGUUAGGGAAGAACAAGUGCCGUUUGAAUAAGGCGGCACCUUGACGGUACCUAACCAGAAAGCCACGGCUAACUACGUGCCAGCCGCCGCAGUAACAC